CGGGGGGCAGCAGUGGGGAAUAUUGGACAAUGGGCGCAAGCCUGAUCCAGCCAUGCCGCGUGAGUGAUGAAGGCCUUAGGGUUGUAAAGCUCUUUUGUCCGGGACGAUAAUGACGGUACCGGAAGAAUAAGCCCCGGCUAACUUCGUGCCAGCAGCCGCGGUAAUACGAAGGGGGCUAGCGUUGCUCGGAAUCACUGGGCGUAAAGGGCGCGUAGGCGGCCAUUCAAGUCGGGGGUGAAAGCCUGUGGCUCAACCACAGAAUUGCCUUCGAUACUGUUUGGCUUGAGUUUGGUAGAGGUUGGUGGAACUGCGAGUGUAGAGGUGAAAUUCGUAGAUAUUCGCAAGAACACCAGUGGCGAAGGCGGCCAACUGGACCAAUACUGACGCUGAGGCGCGAAAGCGUGGGGAGCAAACAGGAUUAGAUACCCGGGU
rnacentral:rRNA from 1 species